rnacentral:rRNA from 1 species
UCGAGAAUUUUUCACAAUGGGCGCAAGCCUGAUGGAGCGACGCCGCGUGGGGGAUGAAGGGUUUCGAUCUGUAAACCCCUGUCAUUUGCGAACAAACCUUGAUUGUGAAUAGCGAUCGAGCUGAUUGUAGCGGAAGAGGAAGGGACAGCUAACUCUGUGCCAGCAGCCGCGGUAAUACAGAGGUCCCAAGCGUUGUUCGGAUUCACUGAGCGUAAAGGGUGCGUAGGUGGUCGGUGAAGUUCGGUGUGAAAGCUCGGAGCUCAACUCCGAAACGGCAUUGAAAACUCAUCGGCUGGAGGGUCGGAGGGGAGACUGGAAUUCUCGGUGUAGCAGUGAAAUGCGUAGAUAUCGAGAGGAACACCAGUGGCGAAGGCGAGUCUCUGGACGACUCCUGACACUGAGGCACGAAAGCCAGGGGAGCAAACAG